rnacentral:rRNA from 1 species
AGUGAACGCUGGCGGUAGGCCUAACACAUGCAAGUCGAACGGCAGCACAGCAGAGCUUGCUCUGUGGGUGGCGAGUGGCGGACGGGUGAGGAAUACAUGGGAAUCUGCCCAGUCGUGGGGGAUAACGUAGGGAAACUUACGCUAAUACCGCAUGCGCCCUUCGGGGGAAAGCCCGGGGGACCUUCGGGCCUGGCGCGAUU